UUAAAAGGCUCUGAAUUAUAAGAAGCCAGCUCUGAGACGGCUGCUGGAAUGGAUGAUGAAAAACAGCAGAGAGCUCAUGAAGGCAAAUUCAGAACUGGACAUCCAAACUCAGCAAGGUGUCCCAGAGCUGGGUCUGAUCCUGGUGGAUGUUGUCUUCCUAAGUACACAAGUUUCCCCAGCAGCACUGGUGUACCUGCCACUACCAUCAGAAGGACUGGCUGUAAGAGGUCAGAGACAUGUGCUGUGAACCAGCUGCCAAUUCAAGUGCCUGUGGAACCCUGCUCCUAAAUGUAGUGGGCAGCACGUGAAUGUGAGACUCCUUGGAGCAAAAACAUUGCCCAGACCUGCGAACACAGGCUGCUUUUGUUCACAUACAGCCAGGGCACGAGGGGCUGCCCACAUGCAACCUGCUCGAGAGCCAAAGGUCUUUCUGAAAGGGGGAGAGCUGCUCAGAGGGCUUUUGUAGCAGGUCAUCUGCCUGAGUUGGAAGAGCAAAUUCACAGAAGGAUGAUUGUCACAGAGGUGACAGCCCAAUGAACUGUCGAGGGGGCCCCAAAAUCAUAAACAACUCCAGGCUGUUCCUCACCCUAACCCCUUGUGACAUGAGCAGACUGUCAAUCCAUCUCAGGGCAGUGGAGCUGCAGAGGUUGCUUUUUAUGGCCUGGGCAGGAAUUUCCCCCAGCUCAGUGUUUGAUUUGGGCAGCACUGUAAUCUCUUUCUCUUCCAACAUUUCUAGUUCUUACUUUGGCCUCAUAUUGAUUUCGACAGACAUACCAAAAUGUAAUGCCUGCACUGCGCUUGUCAGGAAGAUAAAUAGAAGUAAUGAUCAGAGAGGGGAGAUGAGGUGGCCAUCUGACCCCUUUUCACUGGGGAAUGCAGCUGCCAGGAUUUCAGCCUGUCCAACUGCUGCCAUGGCUCCCUGUACCUCUGUGCUGGGGGAAAUCUGGUCAUACUGCCUGGGUGGGAUGGGAUGACUGUGGGACCUGCUUAUCCUCUGCUGAUGUUGCUGAGACCUGCCUUCAGCAGGGGGAAUGCCAGCAGCCCCUCUGUCUCCCCAUCUACACCUAGAUCUCAGUGAUGCCGUGCCAGUGGACAAAACACUGCUAUGCUCCCAGGAAUGGUGGGUCUCAGGGCUAGGUUUCACAGGCGGUGUUGCUGCUGGUUGGUUUAUUUCCAUGAAAUGCUAGAGAAAGUAAAUCCAGUUCCUGUUCAGCUGGGAGGGGAGAGUGCCCCUUUGUGCCUCCCCCCACUGCUGCCAUGGCUGAGCUAAUUCCCCAUGAGAACCUGCUUUCUUGCUGGCAUCAGUGUGAAGUGUGGAUGGGUGUUUUUGGACAUUGUUUACUUUUUAAAGAAAGUAUUUGCUACUGCAGUUUUGCUCUAUCUUACCUGCUCCCGCUGAUUAUUUUCUAGCAGUUGGCCUUGUCUGACAGCAUGCUGACCACAAUCUGUCAACUUGCUGAGCUGAUUUAAGGAGCAGAGGUUGCUUAAACUCUCUGUCCUUCCUCACUCAGAGCAAUAGCCCCCAGGCAGGGCACCCCUCACCUCUGUCCUCCUCUCUAGCUCAGCCCAUGCUGCUGAGGAUCAAACUCCAUGUAUUUCAGGACUUCCUAUAACUUGCAAGCUUGCUGCCAAGAACACUGGACUGUGCAUCAACUAUAUGCAAUUGAUUUUUUUGAUUGUGCUAUAGAGUGCACUUUGACAUAACAAUAAUAAUUAUAAUUAUUACUUUAGGCUGGGAAAGAUGGGCAGUGGCUUAUGUAACUGUGGAAAAGCCCCAAACUAAGAGACCCCCUGACAUCUAAUGUCACUAAAAUGGAACCAAAUAGCUGUGCUACCUCUGAAAAUUACAUCUGACAGAAUUAUUUUCUGUAUUUGUCCACCAUAGAAGGGUUUUUACACAAUAUUCUUAUCUAAUGAAUUGCCAAAGCGUAGCAGUUCGAGCUAGUUAGUUGCAAGAAGUUAGAGGUUAGAGAGGAGAAGUCUAUUACAGCAAUAACACUAAUAAGGGUCUGCCAAGAUCACACUUGAGUACAUGUAAAUACAGGGCAUUUGAGAUUAACAUCUCAGAGGACAGAGGAAUGGUGCUGAGAGGCAGUGACCGAUUGGGAAAAAUGAGAGCUGGGGCUAGAGGGUGCAGCCUUUCCCUGCAGCUCCCAUUCCAGCACCACUAUGCUCCCCCCAGCCCACAGCAGCCGCAGCCCACUGCUCCUGCCUCUGCCACCCCCUGCCCGAGGGUCGGAGCCUCUUCCAUGAAAUUUCAUGAGGCGGUUUGGCAGGUUCUGACGGGCGGCAGGCGUGAACCCUGUGCUGUGUGGAAUGAAGUGGCUUAAUAUAUCUGGGCCUCAACAUAUACACCUGGCAAGCAAGGUGAGGGCUUCCUGCAGCAGAGAGGGCAUUUCCCUCAUGCUAUGAAAAAAUCCAAGGGCCUGAAAACUUGAGAUGCGCCCUGGGGACUCUGUGGCAGGUAGUAGCAAGGCUUGAGGGAGGCUUUCUACCUGCCCCUCCCACUUCGUUCCUUCUGAGAGAGCUGCCAGGAGAGAGAUCCCUGGGGAGAAGGUCGUGCCACCGCUUGUCCCCCCACUCCCACCCUCUCCCAGCAACCACAUUUUGUUGAGGGCUGGUGGAGGCGAUGCAAAUCAACAUUUCCAAAGCGUCAGUGGCAAAGCUUGUAUAACAGGGAAAAAAACUAGACUACAGUAAGUAUUUUUGAUUAUUUUCUGAUAGCCUCCUGUUUCCCACAGCUGUACAUUUGCAGAAUAUGUUGUGAUUUCUUUAUGAUGUUACUAAAUGUAAUUUGUGUUUUCAAAGGGAAUUAUAAAUCAAAAACAAUGAAAGGGCUGGAAUCCCGAGCUUUUAAAAGUGGCUACUGCAUAUCAACAACAGCUACUUUUGAUCAACAUUUUUUGCUAUGCGUUUUUUGGAAUGGCUACAGGAUACUCAAAUGAGCAUUGUAAUUAAACUUCCACAAUGUGCAUCAUAAUUCUCUGGGCUCCAAAUGAUCUGCUACGACUUAUACUUGGAAUAAUCAUUAAGGUUUCUAUUGAAACUGACCACAUUUCAUCCAUUCUCUUAGUGCACUGAGGAAUAUAGUAUCAAUCACACUUUUUCUCUCACUGAACUGUAUUUUUCCUCUAGUUUUCCUUCUCUUACUUUUUUUCAUUUUUAUGGUCUUGCCAGUGUCAAAGAAACACGGUAUCGAAUAGGAUCAGACAUGACCACCUUCAAUUGAACAUGCAGGAUGCAUUUGCACUCAGCCUUUACUAAUAAGGAAGUUACAGCAAAGCACAAGGAGAUAAAAAUCUGACAAAUUAAAAGAAGAAAAUCUAUUUCUCCUUGGAGAGACAAAAAAAGGAAAAAUAGAUUAAUUGCAUUGGGGAGGUAUUUUGUGGAGCUGGUACAGUUGGUCUUACUAUAAACUGAUUCCUUUAUUAUAUAAACUGAUUGUACACUAUAAAUAUUUAAAUUUAUAUUUAUUUUACAAAAUCUGAUUCUACCUAUCAGAGCACAGUGUCAAAGUAUUUACAUUAAAAAGGUACUCCAUAAAAAUUCACGUCCAGCAAACAUGUAGACAUCUAACUAUAAUUAAAUCUUCAAAAGUGGCCAUCCUCCUGCUUCUGUAUAAGAACAAGUGUGUCCUUUCUGGGUUGCAAUCAAUAGCAGGUUACCUGAUUAUACACCUUAUUAUGUCUUGUAUAGUAGUGUGAGGCACUGGAGGGUGACAUGUGAACAAAUAGAUAUGCCUGAUCAGAUCUUUUCAAGAAACACACCUUACAGGAGAGAGAAAAACAAUUAGUGUGUGUUAUAGGUUACCGAUUUACAAUUUACAUCAUACAUCAAUGUCUGAUUAUUUUAAUGCAAAAUGUUUUUAGCUUCAUUUUAUUGCACUAAUGGUUUCAAUAACACACUAUAAUUUGCUGAGAUAGAGCAAUU